AUUGAACGCUGGCGGCAGGCCUAACACAUGCAAGUCGAGCGGAUGAAGGGUGCUUGCUCCUGGAUUCAGAGUCGGAAGGGUGAGUAAAGCAUAGGAAUCUGCUUCGCAGUGGGGGGUAACGUCCGGAGGCGGGCGCUAAUAACGCAUACGACCUGCGGGAGAAAGAGGGGGAGCGUUGGACAUCACGCUCUCAGAUGAGCCUAGGUCGGGGUGGCUAGUUGGUGGGGUAAAGGGCUACCUAGCAGAGGAUUCGCAACUGGUCUGAGAGGAUGAUCAGUCACACGGGAACUGCGACACGGUCCAUACUCCUACGGGAGGGCGCAGUGGGCAAUGUUGGACAGUGGUGGAAAGCCUGGUCCAGUCAUGCGGCGUGUGAGAAGAAGGUCUUCGGAUUGUGAAGCAGUUUAAGUUGGGAGAAAGGGCAGUAAGUUAAGACCUUGCUGGUUUGACGUUACCAACAGAAUAAGCACCGGCUAACUUCGUG
rnacentral:rRNA from 1 species